rnacentral:rRNA from 1 species
GACUCUUACUGAAAUCAAGUGUCUUCAAAAUGAUAAAGACACCCAUGUGUACUACUUCUUACUCCAAUAUCCUGGGAGAACCAUA